CCCUUAGAUGUCCUGGGCCGCACGCGCGCUACACUGACGGAGCCAACGAGUACUUUCCUUGUCCGGAAGGACUGGGUAAUCUUGUGAAACUUCGUCGUGCUGGGGAUAGAGCAUUGCAAUUAUUGCUCUUCAACGAGGAAUUCCUAGUAAGCGUGAGUCAUCAGCUCGCGUUGAUUACGUCCCUGCCCUUUGUACACACCGCCCGUCGCUACUACCGAUUGAAUGGCUUAGUGAGCCUUUGGGAUUGGCAGCUUGUACCGGCAACGGUAGCAGGCCGCUGAAAACUUAGGCAAACUUGGUCAUUUAGAGGAAGUAAAAGUCGUAACA
rnacentral:rRNA from 1 species